UACGGGGGGGGCAAGCGUUGUUCGGAAUUACUGGGCGUAAAGGGCUCGUAGGCGGCCAACUAAGUCGGAUGUGAAAUCCCCAGGCUUAACCUGGGAACUGCAUCCGAUACUGGAUGGCUUGAAUCCGGGAGAGGGAUGCAGAAUUCCAGGUGUAGCGGUGAAAUGCGUAGAUAUCUGGAGGAAUACCGGUGGCGAAGGCGGCAUCCUGGACCGGCAUUGGACGCUGAU
rnacentral:rRNA from 1 species